rnacentral:rRNA from 1 species
UACGAAGGGGGCUAGCGUUGUUCGGAUUUACUGGGCGUAAAGCGCGCGCAGGCGGCUAUCCAAGUCAGUGGUGAAAGCCCGGAGCUCAACUCCGGAACUGCCAUUGAAACUGUUUAGCUUGAGGACGAGAGAGGUGAGUGGAAUUCCCAGUGUAGAGGUGAAAUUCGUAGAUAUUGGGAAGAACACCGGUGGCGAAGGCGGCUCACUGGCUCGUAUCUGACGCUCAGGCGCGACAGCGUGGGGAUCAAACAGG